rnacentral:rRNA from 1 species
CCCCUAGAUGUUCUGGGCCGCACGCGCGCUACACUGAACAGUUCUACAAGUCUUAACCUUGGCCGAUAGGUCUGGGUAAUCUUUGAACGCUGUUCGUGAUUGGGAUAGACCUUUGCAAUUAUGGGUCUUCAACGAGGAAUUCCUAGUAAACGCAAGUCAUCAGCUUGCAUUGAUUACGUCCCUGCCCUUUGUACACACCGCCCGUCGCACCUACCGAUUGAAUGGUCCGGUGAAAUCUCGGGACGGCGGCUUGGUCGCUUGCGUCCGACUGCUGAAACUUGAUUAAACCAUAUCAUUUAGAGGAAGGUGAAGUCGUANCA